ensembl:miRNA mir-272 ncRNA
CGCAGGCACGUGCAGGUAUGUAGGCAGGCGUAGGCCCGUAGGCAAGUGUAGGUCUGCAGGCAUGAAUGUAGGCAUGGGUGUUUGGAAGACCUGCG